rnacentral:lncRNA from 1 species
AACAAAGUAGUGCGAGUGCGAGAAAUAAAUAAAGUAGUGCAAGUGCGAGAAAUAAACAAAGUAGUGCGAGAAAUAAACAAAGUAGUGCGAGUGCGAGAAAUAAACAAAGUAGUGGGAGUGCGAGAAAUAAAUAAAAGUAGUGCGAGUGUGGGAAAUAAAUAAAGUAAAGACAGUGCAGUAAAGUAAAGUAGACAAAGGUAAAGCAAUAAAACCUGCUCAAAUCGGAGGGUCGAAUAAAGUGUGCAACAGAAAUGAAAAUUGCGGCAGGAUUAAC